rnacentral:rRNA from 1 species
UACGAAGGGGGCUAGCGUUGUUCGGAAUUACUGGGCGUAAAGCGCGCGUAGGCGGCGAUCCAUGUCAGGGGUGAAAUCCCGGGGCUCAACUCCGGAAUUGCCUUUGAAACGGGAUUGCUAGAGUCCGAGAGAGGAUGGCGGAAUUCCUAGUGUAGAGGUGAAAUUCGUAGAUAUUAGGAAGAACACCGGUGGCGAAGGCGGCCAUCUGGCUCGGUACUGACGCUCAGGCGCGAAAGCGUGGGGAGCGAACAGG